rnacentral:rRNA from 1 species
UGCCUUAGUAACGGCGAGUGAAGCGGCAACAGCUCAAAUUUGAAAGCUGGCCCUUUUAGGGUCCGCAUUGUAAUUUGUAGAGGAUGAUUCGGCGAGGGCUCCUGCCUAAGUCCCCUGGAACGGGGCGUCAUAGAGGGUGAGAAUCCCGUAUGCGGUAGGUUGCCUUAGCCAUGUGAAUCUCCUUCGACGAGUCGAGUUGUUUGGGAAUGCAGCUCUAAAUGGGAGGUAAAUUUCUUCUAAAGCUAAAUACCGGCCAGAGACCGAUAGCGCACAAGUAGAGUGAUCGAAAGAUGAAAAGCACUUUGGAAAGAGAGUUAAAAAGUACGUGAAAUUGUUGAAAGGGAAGCGCUUGCAACCAGACUUGUCCGCAGUUGCUCAGCCGGUCUCCUGACCGGCGUACUCUUCUGCGGCCAGGCCAGCAUCAGUUCGGGCGGUCGGAUAAAGGCCUCGGGAAUGUGGCUCCUCUCGGGGAGUGUUAUAGCCCGGGGUGCAAUGCGGCCAGCCUGGACUGAGGAACUCGCUUCGGCAAGGAUGCUGGCGUAAUGGUUGUAAGCGGCCCGUCUUGAAACACGGACCAAGGAGUCUAACAUCUAUGCGAGUGUUCGGGUGUCAAACCCGUACGCGUAAUGAAAGUGAACGGAGGUGGGAACCCGCAAGGGUGCACCAUCGGCCGAUCCUGAUGUCUUCGGAUGGAUUUGAGCAAGAGCAUAGCUGUUGGGACCCGAAAGAUGGUGAACUAUGCCUGAAUAGGGUGAAGCCAGAGGAAACUCUGGUGGAGGCUCGCAGCGGUUCUGACGUGCAAAUCGAUCGUCAAAUUUGGGUAUAGGGGCGAAAG